UUUUGAUUCUUUGGUGCGGGAGUAUGAGGCUGAUGGAUGAGGUUGAGAAGGAUACUUAAAACACCUUAGCUCCUGGCAUACUUUAAAUAUAUGGAUGGAAUACACUGCAUCCGUCUCAAAAUAACUAUCGGUGCAGUACUUUCUAAUUCAAGUAGAACUAGAGAGAAGUUUCUGGUAUUCAUAUUUAAAUUAUAAAAAUGGCUUCUGUGCAGAUGUGGGAAGAUCUAAUUCAAAAGGCAAAAGAAAAAGGAAUAGAUGUGAUUAAAACCUAUGUGUUCUAGAAUAUUUAUGAGCCUUCCCCUAGAAAUGUACCCCACCACUUUCUUAUGAAUUAUUAUCAUGUUUUGUUUUUUCUUCUGUGUUUCUCUCUCACAUUUGAUCUUUGUUUAUUGUGUUUUCUUCAUGCUACUCAUCUCAGUACAAUUUUGAAAGGAGAUAUGAUCUGGUGAGAUUCAUGAAGAUAACACACAAAACUGGUCUUUACGCUCAUCUUCGCAUUGGUCCUUAUGUCUAUGUUCAUGUUUUCAAAACUAUUGAAGGUGUUUUAUUACUUGAAGUUCAAUAUAUUGAGAAUUUUUUAUUUUGUUGUUCCACUGAAGGAGAUUUAGCUAAUGCUGUUGUGUCCUUUAUGGGUGAAUCCAUUAUUGAUGGCACUCUUCUUCUUGUUGCUUAUUUUGUUUAACUAUCUUAUUGAAAAUGUUAUUAUAGCUAAUAGUAAUAAUGUUAUUAUUGUGACGAAGAUGGCAUCCAAUCUGGACUCUUUCCAAAAGCUUCUUUUGAAGAAGGCCAUUUUCGUCGACAAUAAUGGAACAAGAGCUUGAUGCCGCCAUCACCACAGCUGCCCACGCUCGCUCUGAGAAGCAACAGGCUAAAGCGGCAUAGAGAGCUUCCGAAUUGCAUGCGCAAGAGGUCACCAAAGAGUUUGAGAACACCACAAAGGUGUUUGAGCUGUACAUGGAAGAUUUACGUGCAAAGCAAGAAGAAAUUACAAAGCAUGAUAAUGAUAUUAAACUCAUAGAAGAUAUUAUUCAAACGCUUGGAGGAAAAGAAUCUAUUUCUACGUCUAUCUAAAAGCCAAGGUGCUUCGUACUCCUUUUUUCUUCUUUCUUUGUUCAUUAUUUUUGUUAAAAUUCCCAUGUAAAUUGAAUCAUAUUACUAGGUAAAUUGUGAAGAUUGUUUUUCCAACA